AUCGAUGAAGAACGCAGCGAAAUGCGAUAAGUAAUGUGAAUUGCAGAAUUCAGUGAAUCAUCGAAUCUUUGAACGCACAUUGCGCCCCUUGGUAUUCCGGGGGGCAUGCCUGUUCGAGCGUCAUUACACCAAUCAAGCACCGCUUGGUAUUAGGUCUCUUCGCCUCCCCUGCCCUCACCGGCGGGAGGCGGGCCUCAAACACUUCGGCGGGGCCUCUUGGGCUUUGGGCGUAGCAGAAUUUAUCUAAAACGUCCUUGGGUCUCUCGAGUCUCCUGCCGCUUGAAACCGAAUCGGAACACCCCGCGCGAGCGGGAAUUCCCCUUCACUUUUUCAAAGGUUGACCUCGGAUCAGGUAGGAAUACCCGCUGAACUUAAGCAUAUCAAUAAGCGGAGGAAAAGAAACCAACAGGGAUUGCCUCAGUAACGGCGAGUGAAGCGGCAACAGCUCAAAUUUGAAAUCUGGCCCUUUCAGGGUCCGAGUUGUAAUUUGUAGAGGAUGCUUUUGGGCAGCCACCGGUCUAAGUUCCUUGGAACAGGACGUCACAGAGGGUGAGAAUCCCGUACGUGACCGGCAGGCACCCUCCGUAAAGCUCCUUCGACGAGUCGGGUUGUUUGGGAAUGCAGCCCUAAAUUGGAGGUAAAUUUCUUCUAAAGCUAAAUACCGGCCAGAGACCGAUAGCGCACAAGUAGAGUGAUCGAAAGAUGAAAAGCACUUUGGAAAGAGAGUUAAAAAGCACGUGAAAUUGUUGAAAGGGAAGCGCUUGCAAUCAGUCUCGACGGCGUUUGUUCAGCCGGUCUUCUGACCGGUCACUCAUUCGCCGCCGGGCCAGCAUCAGUUUUGGCGGCCGGAUAAAGGCUGCGGGAAUGUGGCUCCCUCGGGAGUGUUAUAGCCCGCGGUGUAAUACGGUCAGCCGGGACUGAGGUCCGCGCUUCGGCUAGGAUGCUGGCAAAAUGGUUGUAAGCGGCCCGUCUUGAAACACGG
rnacentral:rRNA from 1 species